rnacentral:rRNA from 1 species
UGGAGUCUGCAACUCGACUCCAUGAAGUCGGAAUCGCUAGUAAUCGUGAAUCAGAAUGUCACGGUGAAUACGUUCCCGGGCCUUGUACACACCGCCCGUCACACCAUGGGAGUGGGCUGCAAAAGAAGUGGGUAGUUUAACCUUUCGGGGAGGACGCUCACCACUUUGUGGUUCAUGACUGGGGUGAAGUCGUAACAAGGUAGCCCUAGGGGAA